AGAGUUUGAUCAUGGCUCAGAUUGAACGCUGGCGGAAUGCUUUACACAUGCAAGUCGAACGGCAGCACGGACUUCGGUCUGGUGGCGAGUGGCGAACGGGUGAGUAAUAUAUCGGAACGUGCCCAGUCGUGGGGGAUAACGUAGCGAAAGUUACGCUAAUACCGCAUACGAUCUACGGAUGAAAGCGGGGGACCGUAAGGCCUCGCGCGAUUGGAGCGGCCGAUGUUAGAUUAGGUAGUUGGUGGGGUAAAGGCUCACCAAGCCGACGAUCUAUAGCUGGUCUGAGAGGAUGAUCAGCCACACUGGGACUGAGACACGGCCCAGACUCCUACGGGAGGCAGCAGUGGGGAAUUUUGGACAAUGGGCGCAAGCCUGAUCCAGCCAUUCCGCGUGCAGGACGAAGGCCUUCGGGUUGUAAACUGCUUUUGUACAGAACGAAAAGCUCUGGGUUAAUACCCUGGGGUCAUGACGGUACUGUAAGAAUAAGCACCGGCUAACUACGUGAAGGCAGCCGCGGUAAU
rnacentral:rRNA from 1 species